GUAGCUAUGUAUGGACGGGAUAACCGCUGAAAGCAUCUAAGCGGGAAGCCUCCCUUGAGAUUAGGUAUCUUUGAACCGUGAUAGACCAUCACGUUGAUAGGCCGGGUGUGGAAGUGCAGUAAUGUAUGGAGCUAACCGGUCCUAAUAGUUCAUAUCAUGCUUGA
rnacentral:rRNA from 1 species